GCUGCGCCCUCCCCACUCCACAGAUGAGGAAGCUGAGGUUAAAGUCACUUGCCCCAGGUCACUCCGCAAGUUGAAGCGCAACCAGGAUACUCUGGAACAGGAUGCCUGACUUCAGAGGAGAGGCGCGUAACCACCAGGCAACUGGCCCCACGAAAACAAGUCCCGCAACUUCCCUUCUUUGGCUCCUACUUGCUCCCGGAAGAAAAGCCUUAAACGGUAUUCAAGCCCUUUAGGAUCUGAUGUCCUAGGACUCCACUCUGGGCUUCCAGCCUGGGGUGGUACUGGUCCCUAGGCAUGGAAGCUCCUCCCACUGCCCCUUCCUUCACCCGGCCACCUCCUCCCACAGGUGUCUUCCUGGUACUCUUGCACAGGCCCGAGUCCCUUACCACCACGGCCUUAGCCUGCUCUCGUGCUCUCAGUAAUGUUUUCUCCAUUUGCUGCCUUUCAUUCUUUCCAGAGAUUCUUGCUCAACCCAACCAGGCCAGCCCGGGGACUAGGGACAUGUAGGGACAAUAGUCCCUGCUUCAGGCAGUUCAGGGCAGACCACAGAGAUGUGACAUUACAGACCAUUGUGAGCAGAGGCCUUGUCCCAUUCUGUGUUGCAUCCCUAAGCCAGGAACAAAGUCCAGCCCAGGCCUGGCUCCAGGGGACACGCAGUAGUAUCCUCUGGCCUGUGCAAGUGUAUCUGUAGCCUCACAUGCCACCAUGUGAGUCUGCAAUCUGUCUGUGAAUGCCCUGGUGUAGAAGCCAGGAGUUUGGAGGUGGGAGGGAGCCCUACAGAAUGAUAGCCAGUGCUAACUCCUGGGAAUGUCCAGCCACUAAGACCUGCCCACAGCCCUGCCAUGCCAAUGUCCUCCUUUUCACGGGAGCAGCUUGCACAGACUUUCAGCGCACAGCUGGCAUUGUCUUCCCAGGAGCCAUCCUGUAACCCAGGCCAGGUGAAGGGCUCCUCCCUGGGACCCCACAGCCCCGUUCCCAUCAUCCUUUUGUGGUGAUCAAGGCACCCAUCACACAGUAUUGCCAUAAACCGGGUCAGGUUAACCUUUCAUUCCCUUAGGAGCUGGGUGGGGGCAGCCAAAAGUAUUUGUAGGAGGAAGAGAGAAAGGAGGGGACAGAGCUAGGAAGAAUGGGAGGACGGUCAGAACGCCCCUGUGAAGGAAGGAGAGCACCAAGUCCCCGUGUUCUGCCUACCCUCCCCCAGACAGCAGAUCAGGAGCACCCCGCGCGCCCCCCCCCGCCCCGCCCCGCGUCGGCGCCGGCCCCCUGCAAUGGUUGGCGGUAUGGGGAGGUGAACCAAGAAGGCCAGGAGUUCAAGUGCGUGAUCCCCCACUGGGGCAUAUAGGUUACAGCCGCCAGGGCAACUGAAACUCCUCAGGCUCCAGAGGGCUGAAGUGAGUCGCCUCCACGUUCUUGAGGUGCUUCCGAGCCAGGAACAGUGCGAGGCGCCGGCGCCGCCGCGAGCUCAGGCCCUGGCCCACCAGCCAUGGGAAGGCGGGUCCGUGUGGCCCCAGGGCCUCCUCGCCCUCCAGCUCCUCUUCGCAGCGUGCACGGUAGGAGCGCAGCAGCGCCAGGCACCAGUCCUCGUCCACGCGGUAGCGUGCAUAGAAGGCGGCCUCCUGCGCCAAGCUGCCAGCGCGCAGCCAGCGGGUGACGACGGCGCGGCCCUCUCGCGCCAUCACGACGGGGUAGCGGUGCUCCAGCAGGCGCAGCAGCAGCUCAUUGCCCCGGUUGCCCUCCACGUCACCAGGUGACAGGGGGCGCAGGCGGCCCGAAGUGCUGACCACGUCAUCCUGCGUGCGUCGGAGCAGCAGCACCGGCCCCGGGUAGCAGCACAGCUGCUCGGCCACGUUGAGGUUGAAGUGCUCGCGCACGGUGCGCACCACCAGCCCCUUCCAACUGUGGGGCAUGACCUUCAGCGCCAGCGGCACAAGGUCGUCGAAGGUGGCGUCCAGCACCAGUGCACCCAGCUCCGGGUAGGUCAUGGUGGCCCAGGUGGCCGUGAAGCCGCCAACAGACCAGCCGUAGACCACCAGGUGCGCGGGCGGGAAGUGCAGGCGGUGCAGUGCGUACUCGACCACCACGUCCAUGGCGUUGGCGUCGUGCUGAGGGAAGGGCACGCCAGUGCUGCUGCCGAAGCCGGGGUGGUUCCAGCCCAGCACGGAGUAGCCGGCCUCGAGCGGUGCAGACAGACAGCCCAUCUCGUAGAAGCCCGCGUUGCCUUCGCAGCAGAUGACGAGGCGCGGCCCGUGCACGUGGCUGCCCGGGUGCUGGCGGCGGUCCAUGAACAUAGUGUCGAUCUCGUUGCCGUCACAGGCCACCAGCUUGGCGCGCCGGCCGUGGUAGCGCUCCACGAGGCGCUCUUGGCCCUGCUGCAGCAGCGGCAGCAGCGCGCGCGUCAUCAGGGACACGGAGCCGGGGUACACGAGCCAGCGGCCCAGCGAGUGGGCCAGCGCGUAGCUAGCGAGCUGGCCGGGCAGCUCGCGGAGCUGCUGCAAGAGGCACUGCGCCUGGCUGCGCGCCCCACGUGGAGGCCGCCCCAGCGCAUCCCCGCCCAGCGUCUCGUCCCGCAGCAACCACACGCCCGCCGCGGCUGCCGCGCAGGUCAGCGCCCGGUGGCUGCUGCUCCGGCCCACGGCGCGCACGUCAUCCCAGCGGAAGGCCACGGGCCAGCCGCGGAAUGGGUAGGUGUAGCUGGCGGUCAGGUAGAUCUUGAACACGCGCACCAGCGCCUUCACGAAGCAGAUGACGCACAUGAGCGGUGGCCCUAACGCCCAGCCGCUGGGCCGGGAUCGCCGCGAGAGGCACAGGGCAGUCUUAGGGGAUACCGGCUCCCGGACAAGCCCUGAUGGCCUUUGUGACCUGGCCUUCCAGGGCGGAGGGAAGGCUGCAUCCUGUUGCUAGGUGAUGGGUGCACAAAGGGUUCCCAGAGAUGAUGAACCCAAGGUUCUGCCCGUCCCCCGCCUUCGCCAAGACCCCACCAGCUAAACGCUCCCAGGCCCAGCUUUCCCACCCAUGAUUUGAGCAGCUACUGUCUCCCUCUUUCUUCCUUAUUUAUUUAUUAAAUUGAGAUGGGGUCUCA
rnacentral:lncRNA from 1 species